rnacentral:rRNA from 1 species
ACAUGAAUACAUCAUAGUGUUAAUGCACCGACUCCCAUUAGAACUCUGGAGUUAAGCAUGCUCAUGCUAGAAUAGUACUGGGAUGGGUGACCUCCUGGGAAGUCAUAGUGUUUUAUAUG